UUUGUUUCUUUCCUUUAAUUAGUUUUUUAAUAUAGUUUUUAAAUAAAUCACACUCAAAUGGAUGAAAUGAAAACUCAUUAUAAUACAAUCAUAUGCUAGAGCCAUAUAUCAAUAAUACACAUAAAUUAAUAUCGAUUUAUAUUCAAAUAGAACAGUGCAAUACAUAAGGAAAGGAUACAUUAUGCAGUAAUACAAAUUACAUUUAUGAAUAGCUAUGCUCUCUUGGUGUCAAGGUUUUUAAAGGAUACAAAAUGUAAAAAUUAAUGCUAGUAAGUCCUAACUACUAAUAAUUAUUUUAAUAUAUUUUCUGAAGAUGACUACAAAUUUCCCAUUCCUUUGGAUCACAUCAAGGGACAUGGUCACAUACUUCAUCCCUAAGACUAAGACUCAUGAAUGGAGACUAGAGUAGAAGUCUCUAAAGACAGAAUGACACAAAUUAACAACAUGAAAAGACUCUAAGAAUAAAGUAUACUGUUAAAAAAACCUUCCUUUAAAUCUAGGGGCCAUUGAUUCAUACUUAGUAAUGAGCCAUGAGAUUUUUGACAUUAAACUCUCUCUUUUUUAAAUCUACUGUUUCACAUUCUUAAAAUUCUGGCAUCCCUGCAAUCACUCCUUGUAAUAAGUUGUUUUUUUUUAAUUUAAUAAUGUGACCUCUUUAACCUUAGUGAAGUUCAUUUAUUUGGGAAA